ensembl:lncRNA
AUACAAUGUCUGCUCCAAGUGGCAUCCCUGUCCCGUCUGCACCACCUUCUUAUGAGGAAACAACAGGAAUCAAUGUGAGCUAUCCUCACACCUAUCCUGUCCCAGAACCUGGCCAGAAACCAGAUGGGAAGGGAAUGAACCCUCCCCCAUACCUGGGACAGCCUGCACCAGCAAAUAACCCGAUUACAGUUCAGACAGUGUAUGUGCAGCAACCAGUAGUAUUUUAUGACCGCCCAGUUCAGAUGUGCUGCCCUUCCUGUAACCAGAUGAUCGUGACACGUCUCUCAUAUGACUCAGGAGCUUUGACUUGGCUGUCAUGUGGUGGCCUCUGCCUGCUGGGGUGUAUAGGUGGCUGCUGCUUAAUUCCCUUCUGCAUUGAUGCCCUAAAGGAUGUGGAUCACAGCUGUCCGAACUGCAAUGCUCUUAUUGGUUCUUACAAACGCUUGUAGGCAGUGUUUAAACAUUGAUAAUUCAUUGAUGAAGUUGGCUAGCACCUCUGCAAGCCCUUUCUGAAGUUUCAUGGAGACUUCUGGUUGUUUCUAUGCAUCCUGUCACUUGAAACCAAUCAAAAGAUCCUUGGAGAGUUUAAGUUACGGAGCUUCCUGUUUUGCAGACUGUGUAGGACACAGUGCAUCGUACUCCCCCAAAAGAGCUAGGUACAGCUACAAGUAUUCAGCAGUCACAAACACUUUCCUGCAGGGAAGUAUUUACAAAAGCAGUGGCAUCUCUCUGGAGAGCACAGUGAUCAUUGAGGUACUGGGGAAUUGCCAGAUGGUUUUGAAAGUGCAAGAUGUACAGAUUAAGAAAAGUUUUGCAUCCAGAGAGGAGCCUCUGAAGGAAAUGGACAGUCUAAGGAAAAUACUAGAACAGCAUCCUCUUCGUUUUUCUUUCCAUGAUGGGAAAGUUCUGAAGCUCUGUCCUGUGAGGAGUGAACAGACCUGGGCACUGAACAUAAAGCGAGGCAUUCUCAGUGUCCUGCAGACGUCACAAGCAUCCACUGCUAGUGCAGUCAUUGAAGAGGUGGAUGUUCUGGGAAUAUGCCCAACCAGGUAUCAGCGAAAAGGUCCUGUUCUUGUCAAGACAAGGGACUUAAACCUCUGCUCUCAUCGGUAUUCUGGUUUUACUUCUGUGCAGUCUGUUGUUCUACCUCAUAUGUCAUCUGAGCAGCAGAUCCUGUCCUCCACACUGGAAUGUGUUCAGAGCAUUAAGGCUGGAGUCCUGGCAGAGGCCAAAUGUGCUGAGUCCAAUGUUGUUACAGUGUUCUCUCAGAAGGGCAGUGAGGCAAAGACGCAGACACAGUGUUUGCUGAAACUCCUACAAGUGGAAACAGAGACACUGUACAAAAAAGUGGACUCCGAGGAUCUGUAUGUGACCAGCAUGCUCUAUGAAAGGGAAGAAACUGAGAGGGAAGUCACUGGAGGAGAACUGACUGAACUAGUGUGGAAACUUUGCUUAGCACAUAGUGUGAGUUUUGAGACUGCAGAUCUUUUCCUGACUCUCGUGUUUGAGCUUCGACGUCUUUCUCUUGAGGCCUUAAAAGCGCUAUGGCAAAGAUCUUCAUUUAAAUGCAGAGACAACUGGUAAGGGCCCUUUAGGAAUUGCAUUAAAAAUAUAUAUAGAGAGGAAAGAAAUGUAAGUAUUUAAA